GAUCCUGGCUCAGAAUCAACGCUGGCGGCGCGCCUAACACAUGCAAGUCGAACGAGAAAGUGGAGCAAUCCAUGAGUAAAGUGGCGUACGGGUGAGUAACACGUGGAUWAUCUGCCCUUUAGUGGGGAAUACCGCUGGGAAACCGGCGACAAUACCGCAUAAGCUCGAGAGAGGAAAGCAGCAAUGCGCUGAAGGAGGAGUCCGCGGUCGAUUAGCUAGUUGGUAGGGUAAUGGCCUACCAAGGCUGUGAUCGAUAGCCGGCCUGAGAGGGCACACGGCCACACUGGCACUGAAACACGGGCCAGACUCCUACGGGAGGCAGCAG
rnacentral:rRNA from 1 species